AGAAGGGUAGCAUAUUAGUGUUUUUUGCUUACAACAAAAAGGUGGUUUAUUUUUCCUCCUUCUU
rnacentral:tRNA from 2 species